rnacentral:rRNA from 1 species
ACUCCUACGGGAGGCAGCAGUGGGGAAUAUUGGACAAUGGGGGGAACCCUGAUCCAGCCAUGCCGCGUGUGUGAAGAAGGCCUUAUGGUUGUAAAGCACUUUAAGCGAGGAGGAGGCUACUGAGACGUAAUACNCUGGAUANUUGGACGUACUCGCAGAAAUAAGCACCGGCUAACUCUGUGCCAGCAGCCGCGGUAAUACAGAGGGUGCGAGCGUUAAUCGGAUUUACUGGGCGUAAAGCGUGCGUAGGCGGCCAUUUAAGUCAAAUGUGAAAUCCCCCGAGCUUAACUUGGGAAUUGCAUUCGAUUAACUGGGAAUGGCUAGAGUAUGGGAGAGGGAUGGUAGAAUUCCAGGUGUAGCGGUGAAAUGCGUAGAGAUCUGGAGG